GACGAACGCUGGCGGCGUGCUUAACACAUGCAAGUCGAACGGAAAGGCCCUGCUUGCAGGGUGCUCGAGUGGCGAACGGGUGAGUAACACGUGGGUGAUCUGCCCCUUACUUUGGGAUAAGCCUGGGAAACUGGGUCUAAUACUGGAUAGGACCAUGCUGUAGGUGGUGUGGUGGAAAGAUUAGUUUCGGUAAGGGAUGAGCUCGCGGCCUAUCAGCUUGUUGGUGGGGUAAUGGCCUACCAAGGCGUCGACGGGUAGCCGGCCUGAGAGGGUGGACGGCCCCAUUGGGACUGAGAUACGGCCCAGACGCCUACGGGAGGCAGCAGUGGGGAAUAUUGCACAAUGGGCGCAAGCCGGAUGCAGCGACGCCGCGUGGGGGGUGACGGCCUUCGGGUUGUAAACUCCUUUCAGCCAUGACGAAGCCCUUGUGGUGACGGUAGUGGUAGAAGAAGCACCGGCUAACUACGUG
rnacentral:rRNA from 1 species